UAAUUUGUUCAUAUAAACACUAAACCAACACCAAACUGAAGCAGAUAGCCGGCGAGCUCGCACUAUGAGUUCCAAAGAUGACAAAACCAUUAAGGCCCAAGCUUCUGGUACAAAAAACCCUAAACCUAAACCUCCACCUCCACGUCCAGGGUCUGGGACGUCGAAAUGAUUUCAUAUCAUAUUUGUUACAUGCCAUAACAACAGGUUCAUGUAUGCACGAUUAAGUUGGAAUUAUUGAAGAAGGUGCGUGAAAGGAAGCAAGUACGUACGUGUUACUACAGCCAUAACUUAUCCUGCAACCAUAUGUAUAGCUUCUGCUAUUCUAUUUUCUGUAUAAGAAAAGAAGGUUUUUAAGUCCACGUAUCAUAUCCAUUCUCAUGUUUUUCAUUUCCCACUCACCUUUCUCUCGCUGUAACCCAACUUUUCAUCAUAUAUCCUUAUGCUUUUUUUCUGAAUAUUAUAUGUAUACUUUAUGCGGUUUUAGAACUUGGUUUAGCCGGUAAGAUCUACUUCUGUGCUUUCUUUCUGCUGUGA